CCCCCAAGCUGGAGCAUAGAUAUCAAUCAUGCCCAGCUUGUUACAAAUAUAUCACAUGAGUCAUAGGACUUCACAUCUUGAGAUCGGAGGAGCA